rnacentral:rRNA from 1 species
UUCUACGGCCAUGUCACCUGGAACAAGCCCAAUGUCUAAUCUUGGAAAGUAAACAGUCAGGCCUGGUUAGUACCUGGAUGGGAGACUACCUAGGAAGACCAGGUGCUGUAAGCA